rnacentral:rRNA from 1 species
UACGUAGGGGGCGAGCGUUAUUCGGAAUUACUGGGCGUAAAGCGUGCGCAGGUGGCCGUGCAAGUCGAGUGUGAAAUCCCCGAGCUUAACUUGGGAAUUGCGCUCGAAACUACGUGGCUCGAGUGUGGCAGAGGAAGGUGGAAUUCCACGUGUAGCGGUGAAAUGCGUAGAGAUGUGGAGGAACACCGAUGGCGAAGGCAGCCUUCUGGGCCAACACUGACGCUCAUGCACGAAAGCGUGGGGAGCAAACAGG